rnacentral:rRNA from 1 species
CCUACGGGGGGCUGCAGUGGGGAAUAUUGGACAAUGGGCGCAAGCCUGAUCCAGCAAUGCCGCGUGUGUGAAGAAGGCCUUCGGGUUGUAAAGCACUUUUAUCAGGAGCGAAAUGCCAUGGGCUAAUACCCCGUGGAGCUGACGGUACCUGAGGAAUAAGCACCGGCUAACUUCGUGCCAGCAGCCGCGGUAAUACGCAGGGUGCAAGCGGGAAUCGGAGUUUGUGGGCGUAAAGGGUGCGUAGGCCCGUGAAAUCCCCGGGCUCAACCUGGGAAUGGCGGUGGAUACUGGAUAGCUAGAGUGUGUCAGAGGAUGGUGGAAUUCCCGGUGUAGCGGUGAAAUGCGUAGAGAUCGGGAGGAACAUCAGUGGCGAAGGCGGCCAUCUGGGACAACACUGACGCUGAAGCACGAAAGCGUGGGGAGCAAACAGGAUUAGAUACCCCAGUAGUC